GACGUAGGGCGCGAGCGUUGUCCGGAUUUAUUGGGCGUAAAGAGCUCGUAGGCGGUGUGUCGCGUCGGCCGUGAAAACCUGCAGCUUAACUGUGGGCGUGCGGUCGAUACGGGCAUCACUGGAGUUCGGCAGGGGAGACUGGAAUUCCUGGUGUAGCGGUGAAAUGCGCAGAUAUCAGGAGGAACACCGGUGGCGAAGGCGGGUCUCUGGGCCGAUACUGACGCUGAGGAGCGAAAGCGUGGGGAGCGAACAGG
rnacentral:rRNA from 1 species